rnacentral:rRNA from 1 species
UACAGAGGUCUCAAGCGUUGUUCGGAAUCACUGGGCGUAAAGCGUGCGUAGGCUGUUUCGUAAGUCGUGUGUGAAAGGCGCGGGCUCAACCCGCGGACGGCACAUGAUACUGCGAGACUAGAGUAAUGGAGGGGGAACCGGAAUUCUCGGUGUAGCAGUGAAAUGCGUAGAUAUCGAGAGGAACACCGGUGGCGAAGGCGGCCACCUGGACGACAACUGACGCUGAGGUGCGAAAGCGUGGGUAGCAAACAGG